AUUUAAAAAAAUAAUAAUAAUAAUAAAAAAUGAGGCCCCUUCCCCCCAGCACAUUAAGUCGUGUGUGGGAUGGUAGAGCAGCUGACAAUCAGGGAUUUUGUCAGUGUGUGUUUUGGAGAGUGAAAGAUUCACAGCUGACUAGUAUCCAACAGAAUAUGUUACUCAGGAGCUUGAUGAGUGGCAGGCAAGGUAUGACGGUGCAUGAUCUCAGAUUUUCAAUCUGAGACU
ensembl:scaRNA